CCGCCGCCGCGCGCUCUGCCAGCCCGCGAGUCCUCCGUAUCCAGGCCAGCGUCUUCACCCAGCCACGUGCCCUGCCCCUGGUGCGCAGGUGGACUGGAAAAGAGGAAGGCAAACGCAGUGGCCAGGCGGAGACCUCCCAAAUCCCACGUCUCCCCGAGAAUCAGAGACGGGCUCAGACCUAGGGCAGCCAUAAGAAAAAACGUCAACUACAUCUCGAGGGAGUGAGCCCUUGAGGCACUGAAAUGUCUAAUCCAUGUCUGGAAACAGAUUGAUGGUUCCCGAAAAUCCAGUGGGUCUCCCCCAUUUGAGAGAUCCCUAAAGGCAGGGGUCAUGUCUCUCCCCUUACACUGGGAGUUUCCUGAAGCCAGAUGCUGAAUUUCACCCUAAAGAAGGCAGCUGAGAGCACUAUAUGUGGCCCCACCAGACUGGGAGCUUCCUGAGGACAGGGGCUAAAUUUCACCCAUGAGAGUAACACUUCAAGAAACACUCUCUCUUCCUGCUUUGAGGACAGCUGAAGUCUCGCCACUUCUUCUGGAUGCUCUGACCAUCAGUGAGCCACCUCAGUCUCACCCGCCGCAGAAUGCAGGCCCACUCCAUCACUGAAGGGCCUCCUCCUUGGGCCAGGGCGCCUGCUUCUGCCAGUGGCAUCAUCACCCCACUCCUCAGCCGCCAGUCAUCAGAGUCUGUAACCACCAGCUGCUCUUCCAGAUUCAUGAGGCAAGGCCUGCCUGCUCACCUGGCUGGCCCCAAGCACCUCUUCAACCUGCUGCCACCGUCCUGCCUCGCUGCCCUUCUCAGCUCUUCCAGCAGGGUCUCCAAGUCAUGGAAAAAGAAGCAUGUAUACACACGUGCUCAUAUACACAUGCCCACAGCCGCAUAAGCACACCCAGAAACACCAUCGCAGACAUGUUCUCACAAGCACAUGCACGUAACACACUACCCCUCACUCGUAUACACACGAAUACACACACACUCAUGCGCACUCCCAGUCUUACACACACACACACACACAGUUAUAAUCACUGCUGUUGGAUGAAUUGUGCCCCCCACCCCCGUGCUAAAAAGAUAUGUUAGAGUCCUAACCUUCAGUACCUGGGGAUGUGACCGUAGUUGCAAAUAGAGUGUUUGUAGAUGUAAUCAAUUUAAGAUGAGCUCUUACUGGAUUAGAGUGGGUCCUAAAUCCAGUGACUGGUGUCCUUAUAAGGAGAAAAAGAUUUGAAAACAGAGACAUGGAGACACAGAGCGGAAGGCCAUGUGAUGAUGGAGUCAGAGAUUGGAGUGAUGCAGCUGCAGGCCAAGAAAUACCAAGGUGCUGGAAGCCCCCAGAAGCAAGGAGAGAGGCAUGGAACAAUCUCCAUCAGAGCCUCCAGAAGAAACAGACUCUGCCAACACCUUGAUUGCAGACUUUUGACCUCCUUCACUGUGCGAGAAUACAUUUCUAUUGUUUUAAACUAC